rnacentral:rRNA from 1 species
CACGUAGGGUGCGAGCGUUGUCCGGAAUUAUUAGGCGUAAAGAGCUCGUAGGCGGUGUGUCGCGUCGGCCGUGAAAACCUGCAGCUUAACUGUGGGCGUGCGGUCGAUACGGGCAUCACUGGAGUUCGGCAGGGGAGACUGGAAUUCCUGGUGUAGCGGUGAAAUGCGCAGAUAUCAGGAGGAACACCGGUGGCGAAGGCGGGUCUCUGGGCCGAUACUGACGCUGAGGAGCGAAAGCGUGGGGAGCGAACAGG